UUUUCUUGUGAAAUAAAUAAUAUAUAUUAGUGUGUGUUUAAACUUUGAAUGGGAGGAUAAAGUGAUGGAAAAAUGAAACUUAAAUUUCGUAUGCAAAUUCUUCACAAAUUUAUUGGAACUGCAAAACUACACCACACAAAUUUGCAUCCAAUUCCGAAAGAAAAGAAACAAGUGAAACCCAAUAAAGUCAUUCCCAACCAUGCUUUGAAUUUGUGAUGUGUAAAAUUGGAUCAUAUUUCAGACAACACCAUUUUCCUUUCCUUACAGGGUGACCUCAUGCGUGGAAAGU
rnacentral:lncRNA from 1 species